UGGGGAAUAUUGCACAAUGGGGGAAACCCUGAUGCAGCAACGCCGCGUGAAGGAAGACGGUUUUCGGAUUGUAAACUUCUAUCAACGGGGAAGAAAAAAAUGACAGUACCCGAAUAAGAAGCCCCGGCUAACUACGUGCCAGCAGCCGCGGUAAUACGUAGGGGGCAAGCGUUAUCCGGAAUCACUGGGUGUAAAGGGUGCGUAGGCGGUUAUGUAAGUCAGAUGUGAAAUACCGAAGCUCAACUUCGGGGCUGCAUUUGAAACUGUGUGACUAGAGUACAGGAGAGGUAAGUGGAAUUCCUAGUGUAGCGGUGAAAUGCGUAGAUAUUAGGAAGAACACCAGUGGCGAAGGCGACUUACUGGACUGAAACUGACGCUGAGGCACGAAAGCGUGGGGAGC
rnacentral:rRNA from 1 species